UUCGGGGAGCCUAUACAGGUGUUGCAUGGCUGUCGUCAGCUCGUGUCGUGAGAUGUUCGGUUAAGUCCGCUAACGAGCGCAACCCUCGUCGUAUGUUAUAUGUGUCAUACGAGACUGGCCGGUAAAAGCCGGAGGAAGGUGAGGAUGAUGUCAAGUCAGCAUGACCUUUAUAUCCAGGGCUACACACACGCUACAAUGGUCUGUACAAUGGGUAGCCAAGCCGCGAGGCGGAGCCAAUCCUGAAAGCAGGCCUCAGUUCAGAUUGCAGUCUGCAACUCGACUGCAUGAAGCCGGAGUUGCUAGUAACCGCAGGUCAGCAAUACUGCGGUGAAUACGUUCCCGGGUCUU
rnacentral:rRNA from 1 species